CAUGGGCUUUCUCUUAAGAUGGUUACUGUUGUCCUUGCUAGCUGUUGGAAGGCAUCAGGCAGAUGCUUACAGAACUGGAUCUGCUGGGAAGUAUGGAGGUAACGUGCCAGUUGAAGGCUAUCGACCAGAUUCAGAUAGCUUAAACACUGGAGACGACUCUUCGUGGAGCACUGGACCAGCUGCUGGUGGUUCAACAUCAAAUACAAAUGAGG